AGAGUUUGAUCCUGGCUCAGAACGAACGCUGGCGGCAGGCCUAACACAUGCAAGUCGAGCGCCCCCGCAAGGGGGAGCGGCGGACGGGUGAGUAACGCGUGGGAAUUUUCCUCAAGGUACGGAACAACUCAGGGAAACUUGGGCUAAUACCGUAUGAUGUCUAGCGACCAAAGAUUUAUCGCCUUGGGAUAAGCCCGCGUCAGAUUAGGUAGUUGGUGGGGUAACGGCCUACCAAGCCUGCGAUCUGUAGCUGGUCUGAGAGGACGAUCAGCCACACUGGGACUGAGACACGGCCCAGACUCCUACGGGAGGCAGCAGUGGGGAAUCUUGCGCAAUGGGCGAAAGCCUGACGCAGCCAUGCCGCGUGAAUGAUGAAGGUCUUAGGAUUGUAAAGUUCUUUCGCUCGUGACGAUGAUGACGGUAACGAGAGAAGAAGCCCCGGCUAACUUCGUGCCAGCAGCCGCGGUAAUACGAAGGGGGCUAGCGUUGUUCGGAAUUACUGGGCGUAAAGCGCGCGUAGGCGGUUUUGCAAGCCAGAGGUGAAAUGCCUGAGCUCAACUUAGGAAUUGCCUUUGGGACUGCGAGGCUUUGAGGACUGGAGAGGUGAGUGGAAUUCCCAGUGUAGAGGUGAAAUUCGUAGAUAUUGGGAAGAACACCAGUGGCGAAGGCGGCUCACUGGCCAGUUUCUGACGCUGCAGCGCGAAAGCGUGGGGAUCAAACAGGAUUAGAUACCCUGGUAGUCG
rnacentral:rRNA from 1 species